CCUACGGGAGGCAGCAGUGAGGAAUAUUGGUCAAUGGGCGGAAGCCUGAACCAGCCAAGUAGCGUGCGGGAUGAAGGCCCUACGGGUCGUAAACCGCUUUUGCACGGGGAUAACACCCUCCACUUGUGGAGGUCUGCAGGUACCGUGCGAAUAAGGGCCGGCUAAUUCCGGUCCAGCAGCCGCGGUAAUACGGAAGGUCCGAGGGUUAUCCGGAUUCAUUGGGCUUAACGGGAGCGUAGGCGGGCGUUCAAGUCAGCUGUAAAGUCGCGCGGCUCAACCGCGCCCCGCAGUUGAAACUGGACGCCCUGAGUUCACAACAGGCAGGCGGAAUUCGAGGUGUAGCGGUGAAAUGCAUAGAUAUAACGAGGAACCCCGAUUGCGAAGGCAGCCUGCCGGGGUGCGACUGACGCUGAGGCUCGAAGGUGCGGGUAUCAAACAGGAUUAGAUACCCUGGUAGUC
rnacentral:rRNA from 1 species